GACGAAUGCUGGCGGCGUGCUUAACACAUGCAAGUCGAACGGAAAGGUCCUGCCUUUGUGGGGUGCUCGAGUUGCGAACGGGUGAGUAACACGUGAGUAACCUGUCCUUGACUUUGGGAUAACUUCAGGCAACUGGGGCUAAUACCGGAUAGGAGUUCUCGCUGUAUGGUGGGCGUGGGAAAGUUUCGCUGGUUGGGGUUGUACUCGCGGCCUAUGGGCUUGUUGGUGGGGUAGUGUCUUACCAAGGCCUGGACGGGUAGCCGGCCGGGGCGGGUGACCGGCCACAUUGGGACUGAGAUACGGCCCAGACUCCUACGGGAGGCAGCAGUGGAGAAUAUUGCACAAUGGGCGGAAGCCUGAUGCAGCCACGCCGCGUGCGGGAUGACGGCCUUCGGGUUGUAAACCGCUUUCGCCUGUGACGAAGCGUGAGUGACAGUAAUGGGUAAAGAAGCACCGGCUAACUACGUG
rnacentral:rRNA from 1 species